ensembl:lncRNA
AUACCGAUAUGAAUAUCGCCAAAUUCCGAUUGAUAUCGGAAUACUUAAGUGCAUGUAAACGUAGUCAAUGUAAUCAGGAGAUGAACCGAUUCGAUUUUGGAAUUGAUCCAAACUGGGUGACAGCCUUAACAGCGUCCUUCCUGUUUGAAGAAUACAGGCAAUAUAUCAUUAUGUAUUAUUACAGCGUGUGUGUGUGUGUGUGUGUGUGUGUGUGUCAGGUCUGGUGGCGAGAGCAAGGUGGAGAAAGCUGAAGGACAGAGCAGCAGUGAGCUGGAAUCUGGGAAGUCAAACAGAGCACGACAAACUGGAGAUAUCGACAGGGGAACUGCGGUCUAAACACAAACACACACACACACACACACACACACACACAAAUAGAUUCUAGUAGAAUUGUUUUGUGUGUAUGGUUAUGCACCAUCUCUCUCUCUCUCUCACACACUCCUUGUGUUGCUUCUUUAAUGCUUUCCUGAUAAUAUCCUUCACUAUCCUCCGAGAAUGCUAUUACCCACCCUUCAGUAACAUCCUAUAGAAGGAACAUCACACCCGUCCUGUACAUUCGACAGUACACGAUCACAUACAUCCACAUUUUGUCCAAAUAUCGAGCAAGUUACUACACACGACUAAACACAAACUAAACCCCAUCUGCCCGAACCGAUCCGAGUGCAUUAACAUGUGUUUCUGAAAAUAAUAACACGAAAUAACAGACACGAUGACCACAGGUGUUGGGUUUUUUUUCUUCCAUUUAUUUAUUUAUUUUUAAUCCACCUUUAAUGUGUUACCUCAAUCUCGUAGAUCAGUUUCACUUUCGAAACAAAAUAUAGACGAUUAUACAGUCUGUAAAACCAAAUAUUAUCGUACACUAUUUACAGGUCAUGUGCAUCGUAGUGUGACGUGAACGUGUUAAUGCGGCUGAAGAACACGGACUCGGGUUCGUUAGCGACACGUGCCGAAACCUGCGCCAUGUUGUUUCGGGAUGAACGCUGCACCCUGGAAGGUUGAAAGGUCACUGCACUUUAAACAUAUCCCACUCUCUCUCUCUCGCACUCGCUCACGCACUCGCUCGCUCACUCGCUCGCAUACUCUCUCGCUCAUUGUUCAGUGAUGUGUGUAUUAUUCUACAACCUGCACGUUCUGACUGGUAAGCAUUGUGUUCCGUCUUAUGGAAAUACACAGCAAGUCUCAAUCCGUCCACGUUACCGGCUUGGUUCGAUUCAACGUGGUUGAUCAGCCAAGACAUGUUUGCUCUAUAGUUUUGUGCAGGAGCUACGAGGCGAAUGUAAAAAACUAACGGAAGCCGAUCUCGUCGAGCUCACCUGGAACGAUUUGAGGGUGGACAAGCAGAACUGUAUUAUUAUACUAAUAUAUAUAUAUAUAUAUAUAUAUAUAUAUAUAUAUAUAUAUAUAUAUAUAUA